rnacentral:rRNA from 1 species
AUUGAACGCUGGCGGCAGGCCUAACACAUGCAAGUCGAACGAGUGGCGGACGGGUGAGUAAUGUCUGGGAAACUGCACGAUGGAGGGGGAUAACUACUGGAAACGGUAGCUAAUACCGCAUAACAUCAGAUGUGCCCAGAUGGGAUUAGCUAGUUGGUGGGGUAAAGGCUCACCAAGGCGACGAUCCCUAGCUGGUCUGAGAGGAUGACCAGCCACACUGUAACUGAGACACGGUCCAGACUCCUACGGGAGGCAGCAGUGGGGAAUAUUGCACAAUGGGCGCAAGCCUGAGGCAGCCAUGCCGCGUGUAUGAAGAAGGCCUUCGGGUUGUAAAGUACUUUCAGCGAGGAGGCGUUACUCACAGAAGAAGCACCGGCUAACUCCGUGCCAGCAGCCGCGGUAAUAC